rnacentral:rRNA from 1 species
UGGUGGAGUGAUUUGUCAGGUUAAUUCCGUUAACGAACGAGAUCUCGGCUUGCUAACUAGUGCGUACGAUCACCUGUAUGGGUGAAGCGGUGGAGGUUGGGUUUGGCUUCGGCUGAGCUCACCGCUGCCGUGGAUCCCUGGCUGAUUGUUGGUCACUUCUUAGAGGGACAACUCGCGUCUAGCGAGGGGAAGUUCGAGGCAAUAACA